rnacentral:rRNA from 1 species
GACGAACACUGGCGGCGUGCUUAACACAUGCAAGUCGAACGGACAGACAGAGAGCUUGCUCUCUUGAAGUUAGUGGCGAACGGGUGAGUAACGCGUAAUCAACCUGCCCUUCAGAGGGGGAUAACAACGGGAAACCGUUGCUAAUACCGCGUGCGAUUCAUGAACGGCAUCGUUUAUGAAUGAAAGGUGGCCUCUAUGUAUAAGCUAUCGCUGAAGGAGGGGAUUGCGUCUGAUUAGCUAGUUGGAGGGGUAACGGCCCACCAAGGCAAUGAUCAGUAGCAGGUCUGAGAGGAUGAACGGCCACAGUGGGACUGAGACACGGCCCAAACUCCUACGGGAGGCAGCAGUGGGGAAUCUUCCGCAAUGGACGAAAGUCUGACGGAGCAACGCCGCGGGAGUGAUGAAGGUCUUCGGAUUGUAAAGCUCUGUUAAUCGGGACGAAAGAGUUCUGCGUGAAUAAUGCAGAAAAGUGACGGUACCGGAAUAGAAAGCCACGGCUAACUACGUGCCAGCCGCCGCCGUAA